GACGAACGCUGGCGGCGUGCCUAAUACAUGCAAGUCGAACGCAUUUUCUUUCACCGUAGCUUGCUACACCGAAAGAAAAUGAGUGGCGAGCGGGUGAGUAACACGUGGGUAACCUGCCCAUCAGCGGGGGAUAACACUUGGAAACAGGUGCUAAUACCGCAUAAUUCCAUUUACCGCAUGGUAGAUGGGUGAAAGGCGCUUUUGCGUCACUGAUGGAUGGACCCGCGGUGCAUUAGCUAGUUGGUGGGGUAACGGCCUACCAAGGCUGCGAUGCGUAGCCGACCUGAGAGGGUGAUCGGCCACACUGGGACUGAGACACGGCCCAGACUCCUACGGGAGGCAGCAGUAGGGAAUCUUCGGCAAUGGACGCAAGUCUGACCGAGCAACGCCGCGUGAGUGAAGAAGGUUUUCGGAUCGUAAAACUCUGUUGUUAGAGAAGAACAAGGAUGAGAGUGGAAAGUUCAUCCCUUGACGGUAUCUAACCAGAAAGCCACGGCUAACUACGUG
rnacentral:rRNA from 1 species